rnacentral:rRNA from 1 species
AUUGAACGCUGGCGGCAUGCUUUACACAUGCAAGUCGAACGGUAACAGGUUAAGCUGACGAGUGGCGAACGGGUGAGUAAUGCAUCGGAACGUGCCCGGUCGUGGGGGAUAACGCAGCGAAAGCUGCGCUAAUACCGCAUACGAUCUGAGGAUGAAAGCGGGUGACCGUAAGGCCUCGUGCGAUCGGAGCGGCCGAUGUCAGAUUAGGUAGUUGGUGGGGUAAAGGCUAACCAAGCCGACGAUCUGUAGCUGGUCUGAGAGGACGACCAGCAACACUGGGACUGAGACACGGCCCAGACUCCUACGGGAGGCAGCAGUGGGGAAUUUUGGACAAUGGGCGCAAGCCUGAUCCAGCAAUGCCGCGUGCAGGAAGAAGGCCUUCGGGUUGUAAACUGCUUUUGUACGGAGCGAAAAGGCUCUCUCUAAUACAGGGGGCUCAUGACGGUACCGUAAGAAUAAGCACCGGCUAACUACGUGCCAGCAGCCGCAGUAA